AACGAACGCUGGCGGCAUGCCUAACACAUGCAAGUCGAACGGAUGCAGCAAUGCAUCAGUGGCAGACGGGUGAGUAACACGUGGGAAUCUACCCAGUAGCCUGGAAUAACCGCGGGAAACUGCGGCUAAUACCGGAUACGCCCCUCGGGGGAAAGGAGCAAUCCACUAUUGGAGGAGCCCGCGUCCGAUUAGCUAGUUGGUGAGGUAACGGCUCACCAAGGCGAUGAUCGGUAGCUGGUUUGAGAGAACGACCAGCCACACUGGGACUGAGACACGGCCCAGACUCCUACGGGAGGCAGCAGUGGGGAAUAUUGGACAAUGGGGGAAACCCUGAUCCAGCAAUGCCGCGUGGGUGAUGAAGGCCUUCGGGUUGUAAAGCCCUUUUGGCGGGGACGAUGAUGACGGUACCCGCAGAAGAAGCCCCGGCUAACUUCGUGCCAGCCGCCGUAACAC
rnacentral:rRNA from 1 species